UCACAGAAAUGCUUCCUGGAAUAUUAAGUCAGCUGGGUGCCGACAGCUUAACAAGUCUUAGGAAAUUAGCUGAACAGUUCCCACGACAAGUGUUGGACAGCAAAGCACCGAAGCCAGAGGACAUGGACGAGGAAGAUGAUGAUGUCCCCGAUCUCGUAGAAAAUUUUGAUGAAGCAUCAAAAAAUGAAGCCAACUAAAUCUUUUCUGGUUUUUGGAAGCUGGCAUGGACUAGAUUUAACAAAUCAGCUAUGUGGUUCCAAAGUUUUACCAAUACAGAGAACAUCAUCUGUUACUAGUUCAGUAAUAUAAUAUUUUGUAUAUUAAUAAUGCUGUUUGUUCAGCAUUUUUCAGUCAUUUGAUUUUGCAUUUUGCACUUCCUACCAGGAUCUAUUCUUUUGGUCAAAAUAUGAAGUAUUGGUGCAGCUUGAGGGUGAAGGGGUUUUGAUUCUUGGGUUUUUUUGUUUUGGGGGGUAAUUUGGGUGUAUGUAUGUAUAUGUAUGCGUGUGGGUGUGUAUACACAAUGGAGAACAGUUUGGAAAACAGUUCUAUUUAUCCUCUUCCUUUCCCCAGUAGAAAUAAAACAAAUCUUUACAUUUGCUACUUUU